GGCAUGUCCGUCGGAGCCCAAGCGAAAACAUCUACAUUCUUUUGUAAAAAAUUGAUAAGCUGUGUCUGCACCUCUUUCCCCAAGUUGGAGCCGAUCUUCACCACGUGCUCUUCAUUUUCAUCAUUCAAAGGAAUUGAGAUAAGAUCUUUAAUCGGCUCACCCCGUUCUUCAGCAAGGUCGUUGCAAGUGUCCAAUCCAUCAA
rnacentral:lncRNA from 1 species